rfam:Weissella kandleri strain DSM 20593 Scaffold1, whole genome shotgun sequence.
GGUCACCGUCGGAUUACUCGGCAUUAGGCGACAUUUUAUUUAUGAAAGGUGGAUAUUCCAAUGGCAAUUUCUGCAGAAAAGAAAACAGAAAUCAUGAAGGAGUUCGCACGUCACGAA